ensembl:misc_RNA Metazoa_SRP Metazoan signal recognition particle RNA
GCUGGGCGUGGUGGCGCACGCCUGUAGUCCCAGCUACUCGGGAGGCUGAGGCAGGAGAAUCGCUUGAACCCAGGAGGCGGAGGUUGCAGUGAGCCGAGAUCGCGCCACUGCACUACAGCCUGGGCGACAGAGUGAGACUCCGUCUCAA